rnacentral:rRNA from 1 species
CCUACGGGUGGCAGCAGUGAGGAAUAUUGGUCAAUGGACGAGAGUCUGAACCAGCCAAGUAGCGUGAAGGAUGACUGCCCUAUGGGUUGUAAACUUCUUUUAUAUGGGAAUAAAAUGUUCCACGUGUGGGAUUUUGUAUGUACCAUAUGAAUAAGGAUCGGCUAACUCCGUGCCAGCAGCCGCGGUAAUACGGAGGAUCCGAGCGUUAUCCGGAUUUAUUGGGUUUAAAGGGAGCGUAGGUGGAUUAUUAAGUCAGUUGUGAAAGUUUGCGGCUCAACCGUAAAAUUGCAGUUGAAACUGGCAGUCUUGAGUACAGUAGAGGUGGGCGGAAUUCGUGGUGUAGCGGUGAAAUGCAUAGAUAUCACGAAGAACUCCGAUUGCGAAGGCAGUUCACUGGACUGCAACUGACACUGAGGCUCGAAAGUGUGGGUAUCAAACAGGAUUAGAUACCCCUGUAGUC